UACGGAGGGAGCUAGCGUUAUUCGGAAUUACUGGGCGUAAAGCGCACGUAGGCGGCUUUGUAAGUAAGAGGUGAAAGCCCAGAGCUCAACUCUGGAAUUGCCUUUUAGACUGCAUCGCUUGAAUCAUGGAGAGGUCAGUGGAAUUCCGAGUGUAGAGGUGAAAUUCGUAGAUAUUCGGAAGAACACCAGUGGCGAAGGCGGCUGACUGGACUGGUAUUGACGCUGAGGUGCGAAAGCGUGGGGAGCAAACAGGAUUGAGAUACCCCGAG
rnacentral:rRNA from 1 species